rnacentral:misc_RNA from 1 species
UCUUGCAAUAUCUUCAUAAACCUUUUGUUAACCAUCACACUUUGCUUCUUCACCCUCCCUGCCGGAGCACAAAUUGUCUAUCUGUACACGUAUUGUCCAAACUCAACCACUUACCCAGUAAACAGUAUCUAUGAUAGAAAUCUCAAUUCCCUGCUCUCUUCACUUUCCUCCAAUUCCACGCAAAAGAAUGGAUUCUACAAUACCACCGCUGGUCAAGACCCAUCCAACACGGCCUACGGCCUCUACCUCUGUCGUGGGGAUGUUGCCAUGGACGUCUGCCAAGAUUGUGUAGUGACUGCAAGCAAAGAGAUCGUUCGAAAAUGCCCCAGAAACAACGAAUCCGUCAUAUACUAUGACGAGUGUAUGUUGCGUUAUUCCAACAAAUCUUUCUUCUCUCAAGUGCAGUAUCGUCCCUGGUUACGAAUGUGG